GAAGGAACACCACCAUGCAACUUAAUAAAAUUAAAAAUUAGCUACUAACCCUAUCAUGGAAUUAUUUAAAGACGAGGUAGAGGUACUAACCUUAGAAAUAGAUAUUGAAAUAGUAAAUAAAAUAAGAAAAUU